rnacentral:rRNA from 1 species
AGAGUUUGAUCCUGGCUCAGGAUGAACGCUAGCUACAGGCUUAACACAUGCAAGUCGAGGGGAAACCACUUUGGAAACUUGCUUCCUUUGGGCGUCGACCGGCUCACGGGUGAGUGACGCGUAUCCCACCUUCCCCCUGGUAAGGGAUAACCCACAAAAAUGCGGCCUAAUACCUUAUGUUUUCCUUCGAGGGCCUCUGAUGACGAACAAAUAUCCGUCACUUGUGGAUGGGGAUGCGUCCCAUUAGUUAGUCGGCGGGGUGACGGCCCACCGACACCACAAUCAACAAGGGUUCUGAGAAGAAAGUCCCCCACCUUGCAACUGAGACCCGGUCCACACUCCUAACGCAGGCAGCAGGGAGGAAUAUUGGUCAAUGGGCGGAAGCCUGAACCAUCCCAGUACCGUGCAGGACGACGGACCUAUGGGUUGUAAACUGCUUUUAUGCUGAGAUAAAAAGAGCCAAGUAUGGCCUUUUGCAGGUACCGCAUGAAUAACGACCGGCUAAUUCCGCCCCCAGCUAGCCGCGGGAAUACGGAAGGUCCGGACGUUAUCCGGAUUUAUUGGGUUUAAAGGGAGCGCAAGCCUCCAGGCAAGCGUGUGUGUGAAAUGCCCUCGCUCAGCUCUCUGCACUGCAGCGCGAGCUCCCCAGCUAGAGCGCGCGCAACAUGGGCGGAAUUUACCGUGUAGCGGUGAAAUGCUUAGAUAUGGCGAAGCACUCACGAUUGCGAAGGCAGCUCACGGGUGCGUAACUGCACGCUCAUUCUCGAAAGUGCGGGUUUCAAAACCGAUUAAAUACCCUCGGUAGUCACGCACAGGAAACGAUGGGUGCCCCCUAUUCGUCCCCUGCGGUUGAGUGCCCCAAGCGAAAGCGUUAAGCAUCCCACCUGGGGAGUACGCUGGCAACGGUGAAACUCAAAGGAAUUGACGGGGGCCCGCACAAGCGGAGGAACAUGUGGUUUAAUUCGAUGAUACGCGAGGAACCUUACCCGGUCUUGAAAUCCAUCUGACCGAUCCAGAGAUGUUGAGUCCCUUCGGGGCGGAUGUGACGGUGGUGCAAGGUUGUUGUUAACUUGUUCUGUGAGGAGUCGGCUUAAGUUCCAUAACGAGCGCAACCCCUCUUCCCAGUUACCAUCCGGUUAUGCCGGGCACUCCGGGGACACUGCCACGGUAAGGUGCGAGGAAGGUGGGGAUGACGUCAAAUCAUCACGCCCCUUACGUCCGGGGCUACACACGUGUUACAAUGGCCGGUACAGAGAGCAGGGGCCGUGCAAGCAGUCUCCAAUCCCUAAAACCGGCUUCAGUUUGGACUGGGGUUUGCAACCCGACCCCCCGAAGCUGGAUUUGCUAGUAAUUGCGCAUCAGCCAUGGCGCGGUGAAUACGUUCCCGGGCCUUGCACACACCGCCCGUCAAG